rnacentral:rRNA from 1 species
GGCGCAAGCGUUGUCCGGAAUUAUUGGGCGUAAAGAGCUCGUAGGCGGUUUGCCGCGACUGCUGUGAAAGCCCGGGGCUUAACCCCGGGUGUGCAGUGGGUACGGGCAGACUAGAGUGCAGUAGGGGAGACUGGAAUUCCUGGUGUAGCGGUGGAAUGCGCAGAUAUCAGGAGGAACACCGAUGGCGAAGGCAGGUCUCUGGGCUGUUACUGACGCUGAGGAGCGAAAGCAUGGGGAGCGAACAGGAUUAGAUACCCUGGUAGUCCAUGCCGUAAACGUUGGGCACUAGGUGUGGGGGACAUUCCACGUUUUCCGCGCCGUAGCUAACGCAUUAAGUGCCCCGCCUGGGGAGUACGGCCGCAAGGCUAAAACUCAAAGGAAUUGACGGGGGCCCGCACAAGCGGCGGAGCAUGCGGAUUAAUUCGAUGCAACGCGAAGAACCUUACCAAGGCUUGACAUAUACCGGAUCGUUCCAGAGAUGGUUCUUCCCCUUUGGGGUCGGCAUACAGGUGGUGCAUGGUUGUCGUCAGCUCGUGUCGUGAGAUGUUGGGUUAAGUCCCGCAACGAGCGCAACCCUCGUUCCAUGUUGCCAGCACGUGAUGGUGGGGACUCAUGGGAGACUGCCGGGGUCAACUCGGAGGAAGGUGGGGAUGACGUCAAAUCAUCAUGCCCCUUAUGUCUUGGGCUUCACGCAUGCUACAAUGGCCGGUACAAAGGGUUGCGAUACUGUGAGGUGGAGCUAAUCCCAAAACAGCCGGUCUCAGUUCGGAUUGAGGUCUGCAACUCGACCUCAUGAAGUCGGAGUCGCUAGUAAUCGCAGAUC